UACGUAGGCAGCGAGCGUUGUUCGGAGUUACUGGGCGUAAAGGGUGUGUAGGCGGUUGUUUAAGUUUGGUGUGAAAUCUCCCGGCUCAACUGGGAGGGUGCGCCGAAUACUGAAUGACUUGGAGUGCGGGAGAGGAGAGUGGAAUUCCUGGUGUAGCGGUGAAAUGCGUAGAUAUCAGGAGGAACACCGGUGGUGUAGACGGCUCUCUGGACCGUAACUGACACUGAGAGACGAAAGCCAGGGGAGCAAACGGG
rnacentral:rRNA from 1 species